UACGAAGGGGGCUAGCGUUGCUCGGAAUUACUGGGCGUAAAGGGCGCGUAGGCGGGUGUUUAAGUCAGAGGUUAAAUCCCAGAGCUCAACUCUGGAACUGCCUUUGAUACUGGACACCUAGAGUUCGGGAGAGGUGUGUGGAACUCCGAGUGUAGAGGUGAAAUUCGUAGAUAUUCGGAAGAACACCAGUGGCGAAGGCGACACACUGGCCCGAUACUGACGCUGAGGCGCGAAAAGCGUGGGGAGCAAACAGGG
rnacentral:rRNA from 1 species